rnacentral:rRNA from 1 species
AUUGAACGCUGGCGGCAUGUCUUACACAUGCAAGUCGAACGGCAGCACGGGAGCAAUCCUGGUGGCGAGUGGCGAACGGGUGAGUAAUAUAUCGGAACGUGCCCAGUCGUGGGGAUAACGUAGCGAAAGCUACGCUAAUACCGCAUACGAUCUAUGGAUGAAAGCGGGGGAUCGCAAGACCUCGCGCGAUUGGAGCGGCCGAUAUCAGAUUAGGUAGUUGGUGAGGUAAAGGCUCACCAAGCCGACGAUCUGUAGCUGGUCUGAGAGGACGACCAGCCACACUGGGACUGAGACACGGCCCAGACUCCUACGGGAGGCAGCAGUGGGGAAUUUUGGGACAAUGGGCGCAAGCCUGAUCCAGCAAUGCCGCGUGCAGGAUGAAGGCCUUCGGGUUGGUUAAACGUA